CCAAAUAAAUGUGGGCUAACAGUCUUUGGGGGGCUAGAACAACCCUUUUGGUCUAAUGAGGUGAUGUAGUCAGUGUUCUCUUGCUCUAGCUUUCCUUGAGUUGUGUGUGUCUUGGGCAAUUGCACUGUGUCCUGUCUAACAUCCUGUCCCUUUUUUUUUGGCUUUGCCCUCCUUCUUUUAAAAGGUCCGGGUAAGCACUGAUAGGCUUGCAGGGAAUAAAACCUGCAGUUUGGGAGAACAGAGGGACAUUUGGGAGCGAGAUGGCGAAAGGGGCGGCAGUUACAUACCUUCUUGGAGUGCUGCUCCUGGCGCAGUGGAAGCCCUCGCUGGAAGGAGGCAUUUACAUACCAGCCGGAGGAGCAGGCGGAGUUGGUGUUGGUACUGGUGUCAGUCCUGGAACUGGCUUUGGUCCUGGAGGGGCAGGGACAGGAUAUGGACCAGGAGGAGCUGGUGCUGGUUUAGGGGGUCUUGGUCCUGUAACUGGAGGAGGUGGAGUUGGACCAGGGGGAGUUGGACCAGGGGGU
ensembl:lncRNA